UUUUUGGGCAUCAGAAUGGCCUGUGUAUCUUCUUGUGAAUAUGAUAACAGUAGUAUUCCAAGAGAUAGCCCUGGGGUUAAUAUUGAAGAACUGGGCAAAUUUAACCAGAGAAGAGUCUGUGCUUUUAAAAUCUGAAUUUAUUAGACUCUCAGAGAAAAUGUGGCCAACAUAUUAACUAGAUAAUGGAGAAAUAUGGCCUAAAUUCGUAAGUUUAGACCGAAAAUUAGUAUCAAGCUUAAUAUCCUGCAUACACAUGGCCUGAUAUUGUGAAGAGUUGCAGUAUGCCUGGCUUUUUAUGGUGGUAGCAUGUGAGCAAAGCCUAGACGACAAGAACAUAUAUUGGUCUUAAAAGGUAAAAAGAAAGAGCUGACCUUCAGUAGCGAAUAUAAAAACUCAGAAGAGACAGAGAUAGACCUGAUUACACCAACCACGACGGCGGAGGGGGCCCAGGAUGGCGACACACAGCCCGUCCCCGCCACCACCUCCAUCACGGCCGCGAAGGCGGGCCGGGGGAGCUGCGGCUCGGGCGGGGCCCCGGUCAGUAAAGGAGGAGAAAGGCAGGUCUUGCGAUGGACACCGCCCCUGCCACCGCCUUCUUCACCGCCCCGAGAGGAGGGGCGGGGGAGCAGAGCCUGUUACAAAGAGGGCGGAAAGGGAACAUCCCAGAGGGGGGGUGGUGUCUCCUCUGUUCUCAAGCCUGUGAGUUACCAUAGCGACCUCGAAGGCCUGGGAGCUGCCUCAGGAGAUGACAUCAUCAAAGAUGGUAAACACACAGCCCAAGAGCUGCGUCAGAUGUUGAGGGAUUUCUGCAGGAAAACGGAUAUACGGACAAUCCAGUCUUCAUUGAGACUGAAUAGAAGGUCACAAUGCCCUUGAAGGACACGAAAGAGGAAGAACACACUCAGCAGCAGAUGGUUCAGGAUGUAAAGGCAGACAAGAAAACCGCAGUGAGACACAUGAAGAAGAAAAACUAACUAAAUUAACUGAAAGCUUAAAAUGCAUGCACAGAAGGAUUUAUCCAAUCAUGUAUUAGUUUGAGGCACGUGAACAAAGGAACACAGUAUAAAUACAGCUUACUUUCUGCAAUAAAUCGGCUUCACUUGAUCACA